CCUACGGGAGGCAGCAGUGAGGAAUAUUGGUCAAUGGACGAGAGUCUGAACCAGCCAAGUAGCGUGAAGGAUGACUGCCCUAUGGGUUGUAAACUUCUUUUAUAAAGGAAUAAAACGAGGCACGUGUGCCUUUUUGCAUGUACUUUAUGAAUAAGGAUCGGCUAACUCCGUGCCAGCAGCCGCGGUAAUACGGAGGAUCCGAGCGUUAUCCGGAUUGAUUGGGUUGAAAGGGAGCGUAGAUGGGUUGUUAAGUCAGUUGUGAAAGUUUGCGGCUCAACAGUAAAAUUGCAAUUGAUACUGGCAGUCUUGAGUACAGUUGAGGUAGGCGGAAUUCGUGGUGUAGCGGUGAAAUGCUUAGAUAUCACGAAGAACCCCGAUUGCGAAGGCAGCUUACUAAACUGUGACUGACAUUGAUGCUCGAAAGUGUGGGUAUCAAACAGGAUUAGAUACCCCAGUAGUU
rnacentral:rRNA from 1 species